rnacentral:rRNA from 1 species
GAAACGACUGCUAAUACCGCAUAAGCCCACGGUACCGCAUGGUACUGAGGGAAAAGGAUUUAUUCGCUUUAGGAUGGACUCGCGUCCAAUUAGCUAGUUGGUGAGGUAACGGCCCACCAAGGCGACGAUUGGUAGCCGGACUGAGAGGUUGAACGGCCACAUUGGGACUGAGACACGGCCCAGACUCCUACGGGAGGCAGCAGUGGGGAAUAUUGCACAAUGGGGGAAACCCUGAUGCAGCGACGCCGCGUGGAGGAAGAAGGUCUUCGGAUUGUAAACUCCUGUCGUUAGGGACGAUAAUGACGGUACCUAACAAGAAAGCACCGGCUAACUACGUGCCAGCAGCCGCGGUAAAACGUAGGGUGCAAGCGUUGUCCGGAAUUACUGGGUGUAAAGGGAGCGCAGGCGGGAAGACAAGUUGGAAGUGAAAACCAUGGGCUCAACCCAUGAAUUGCUUUCGAAACUGUUUUUCUUGAGUAGUGCAGAGGUAGAUGGAAUUCCCGGUGUAGCGGUGGAAUGCGUAGAUAUCGGGAGGAACACCAGUGGCGAAGGCGGUCUACUGGGCACCAACUGACGCUGAGGCUCGAAAGCAUGGGUAGCAAACAGGAUUAGAUACCCUGGUAGUCCAUGCCGUAAACGAUGAUUACUAGGUGUUGGGGGAUUGACCCCCUCAGUGCC